AGCUGAUCAGCAAUGCCGCGUGUGUGAGAAGGCCUUCGGGUUGUAAAGCACUUUUGUCCGGAAAGAAAUCCUUGGCUCUAAUACAGUCGGGGGAUGACGGUACCGGAAGAAUAAGCACCGGCUAACUACGUGCCAGCAGCCGCGGUAAUACGUAGGGUGCGAGCGUUAAUCGGAAUUACUGGGCGUAAAGCGUGCGCAGGCGGUUUGCUAAGACCGAUGUGAAAUCCCCGGGCUCAACCUGGGAACUGCAUUGGUGACUGGCAGGCUAGAGUAUGGCAGAGGGGGGUAGAAUUCCACGUGUAGCAGUGAAAUGCGUAGAGAUGUGGAGGAAUACCGAUGGCGAAGGCAGCCCCCUGGGCCAAUACUGACGCUCAUGCACGAAAGCGUGGGGAGCAAACAGGAUUAGAUACCCCGGUAGUCAAUU
rnacentral:rRNA from 1 species